rnacentral:tRNA from 1 species
GCUCGGAUGGUGGAAUGGUAGACACAAGGGAUUUAAAAUCCCUUGCUCUUCGGAGCGUGCAGGUUCAAGUCCUGUUCCGAGCA